CGAACGCUAGCGGCAGGCCUAACACAUGCAAGUCGAACGAAGGCCCGGAGCUUGCUCCGGUGUCCUUAGUGGCGCACGGGUGAGUAACGCGUGGGAAUCUGCCCUGGAGCGGGGAAUAACAGGGGGAAACGACUGCUAAUACCGCAUACGCCCUGAGGGGGAAAGGCUUCGGCCACUCUAGGAUGAGCCCGCGUUAGAUUAGCUUGUUGGUGAGGUAAUGGCUCACCAAGGCGACGAUCUAUAGCUGGUCUGAGAGGAUGAUCAGCCACACUGGGACUGAGACACGGCCCAGACUCCUACGGGAGGCAGCAGUGGGGAAUAUUGGACAAUGGACGAAAGUCUGAUCCAGCCAUGCCGCGUGAGUGAAGAAGGCCUUAGGGUUGUAAAACUCUUUCAGUGGUGACGAUGAUGACGGUAACCACAGAAGAAGCCCCGGCUAACUCCGUGCCAGCAGCCGCGGUAAUACGGAGGGGGCUAGCGUUGUUCGGAAUUACUGGGCGUAAAGCGCACGUAGGCGGCGUGUACAGUUAGGGGUGAAAGGCCUGGGCUCAACCUAGGAACUGCCUCUAAUACUGACACGCUAGAAUUCGGGAGAGGGUAGCGGAAUUCCAAGUGUAGAGGUGAAAUUCGUAGAUAUUUGGAAGAACACCAGUGGCGAAGGCGGCUACCUGGACCGAUAUUGACGCUGAGGUGCGAAAGCGUGGGGAGCGAACAGGAUUAGAUACCCUGGUAGUCCACGCCGUAAACGAUGAGUGCUAGUUGUCGGGGGGUUGCCCUUCGGUGACGCAGCUAACGCGUUAAGCACUCCGCCUGGGGAGUACGGUCGCAAGGCUAAAACUCAAAUGAAUUGACGGGGACCCGCACAAGCGGUGGAUCAUGUGGUUUAAUUCGAAGAUACGCGAAGAACCUUACCGGCCCUUGACAUACCAAUCGCGGACUUAAGAGAUUAAGUCCUUCACUUCGGGUGGAUUGGAUACAGGUGCUGCAUGGCUGUCGUCAGCUCGUGUCGUGAGAUGUUGGGUUAAGUCCCGCAACGAGCGCAACCCCUACCUUCAAUUGCCAGCACAUUAUGGUGGGAACUUUGAAGGAACUGCCGGUGAUAAGCCGGAGGAAGGUGGGGAUGACGUCAAGUCCUCAUGGCCCUUAUGGGCCGGGCUACACACGUGAUACAAUGGUGACUACAAAGGGCACCGAACGCAGCAAUCUGGAGCAAAUCUCAAAAAGUUACCUCAGUUCGGAUUGUACUCUGCAACUCGAGUGCAUGAAGUUGGAAUC
rnacentral:rRNA from 1 species